rnacentral:rRNA from 2 species
AUUGAUUGGUGCUUGCAUCAUGAUUUACAUUUGAGUGAGUGGCGAACUGGUGAGUAACACGUGGGAAACCUGCCCAGAAGCGGGGGAUAACACCUGGAAACAGAUGCUAAUACCGCAUAACAACUUGGACCGCAUGGUCCGAGCUUGAAAGAUGGCUUCGGCUAUCACUUUUGGAUGGUCCCGCGGCGUAUUAGCUAGAUGGUGGGGUAACGGCUCACCAUGGCAAUGAUACGUAGCCGACCUGAGAGGGUAAUCGGCCACAUUGGGACUGAGACACGGCCCAAACUCCUACGGGAGGCAGCAGUAGGGAAUCUUCCACAAUGGACGAAAGUCUGAUGGAGCAACGCCGCGUGAGUGAAGAAGGGUUUCGGCUCGUAAAACUCUGUUGUUAAAGAAGAACAUAUCUGAGAGUAACUGUUCAGGUAUUGACGGUAUUUAACCAGAAAGCCACGGCUAACUACGUGCCAGCAGCCGCGGUAAUACGUAGGUGGCAAGCGUUGUCCGGAUUUAUUGGGCGUAAAGCGAGCGCAGGCGGUUUUUUAAGUCUGAUGUGAAAGCCUUCGGCUCAACCGAAGAAGUGCAUCGGAAACUGGGAAACUUGAGUGCAGAAGAGGACAGUGGAACUCCAUGUGUAGCGGUGAAAUGCGUAGAUAUAUGGAAGAACACCAGUGGCGAAGGCGGCUGUCUGGUCUGUAACUGACGCUGAGGCUCGAAAGUAUGGGUAGCAAACAGGAUUAGAUACCCUGGUAGUCCAUACCGUAAACGAUGAAUGCUAAGUGUUGGAGGGUUUCCGCCCUUCAGUGCUGCAGCUAACGCAUUAAGCAUUCCGCCUGGGGAGUACGGCCGCAAGGCUGAAACUCAAAGGAAUUGACGGGGGCCCGCACAAGCGGUGGAGCAUGUGGUUUAAUUCGAAGCUACGCGAAGAACCUUACCAGGUCUUGACAUACUAUGCAAAUCUAAGAGAUUAGACGUUCCCUUCGGGGACAUGGAUACAGGUGGUGCAUGGUUGUCGUCAGCUCGUGUCGUGAGAUGUUGGGUUAAGUCCCGCAACGAGCGCAACCCUUAUUAUCAGUUGCCAGCAUUAAGUUGGGCACUCUGGUGAGACUGCCGGUGACAAACCGGAGGAAGGUGGGGAUGACGUCAAAUCAUCAUGCCCCUUAUGACCUGGGCUACACACGUGCUACAAUGGAUGGUACAACGAGUUGCGAACUCGCGAGAGUAAGCUAAUCUCUUAAAGCCAUUCUCAGUUCGGAUUGUAGGCUGCAACUCGCCUACAUGAAGUCGGAAUCGCUAGUAAUCGCGGAUCAGCAUGCCGCGGUGAAUACGUUCCCGGGCCUUGUACACACCGCCCGUCACACCAUGAGAGUUUGUAACACCCAAAGUCG